UGUCUUCAGGGCAGGGUGAAAAUCCCGAUCGGCGGUACAGUCCGCGAGCGCUCCCCGCGCAAGAUCCGGUGUAAUUCCGGAACCGACAGUAACGCACCAUUCUCGGUGCGAAGUCUGGAUGGAAGAAGAUG
rnacentral:ncRNA from 1 species